rnacentral:rRNA from 1 species
CGGAAUUACUGGGCGUAAAGGGCGCGUAGGUGGCCUUGUAAGUUGAACGGGAAAUCCCUGGGCUCAACCCAGGAACUGCGUCCAAGACUGGGAGGCUUGAAUCCGGGAGAGGGAUGCGGAAUUCCAGGUGUAGCGGUGAAAUGCGUAGAUAUCUGGAGGAACACCGGUGGCGUAGGCGGCAUCCUGGACCGGUAUUGACACUGAGGCGCGAAAGCCAGGGGAGCAAACGGG